rnacentral:rRNA from 1 species
UACGAAGGGGGCUAGCGUUGCUCGGAAUUACUGGGCGUAAAGGGCGCGUAGGCGGAUACUUAAGUUGGGGGUGAAAGCCCGGGGCUCAACCUCGGAAUUGCCUUCAAUACUGGGUAUCUUGAGUUCGGGAGAGGUGAGUGGAACUCCGAGUGUAGAGGUGAAAUUCGUAGAUAUUCGGAAGAACACCAGUGGCGAAGGCGGCGACCUGGUCCUUGACUGACGCUGAGGCGCGAAAGCGUGGGGAGCAAACAGG